rnacentral:rRNA from 1 species
UAUACAUGCAAGUCGAGCGAACAGAUAAGGAGCUUGCUCUUUGACGUUAGCGGCGGACGGGUGAGUAACACGUGGGUAACCUACCUAUAAGACUGGGAUAACUUCGGGAAACCGGAGCUAAUACCGGAUAACAUUUGGAACCGCAUGGUUCUAAAGUGAAAGAUGGUUUUGCUAUCACUUAUAGAUGGACCCGCGCCGUAUUAGCUAGUUGGUAAGGUAACGGCUUACCAAGGCGACGAUACGUAGCCGACCUGAGAGGGUGAUCGGCCACACUGGAACUGAGACACGGUCCAGACUCCUACGGGAGGCAGCAGUAGGGAAUCUUCCGCAAUGGGCGAAAGCCUGACGGAGCAACGCCGCGUGAGUGAUGAAGGGUUUCGGCUCGUAAAACUCUGUUAUUAGGGAAGAACAAACGUGUAAGUAACUGUGCACGUCUUGACGGUACCUAAUCAGAAAGCCACGGCUAACUACGUGCCAGCAGCCGCGGUAAUACGUAGGUGGCAAGCGUUAUCCGGAAAUAUUGGGCGUAAAGCGCGCGUAGGCGGUUUCUUAAGUCUGAUGUGAAAGCCCACGGCUCAACCGUGGAGGGUCAUUGGAAACUGGGAAACUUGAGUGCAGAAGAGGAAAGUGGAAUUCCAUGUGUAGCGGUGAAAUGCGCAGAGAUAUGGAGGAACACCAGUGGCGAAGGCGACUUUCUGGUCUGUAACUGACGCUGAUGUGCGAAAGCGUGGGGAUCAAACAGGAUUAGAUACCCUGGUAGUCCACGCCGUAAACGAUGAGUGCUAAGUGUUAGGGGGUUUCCGCCCCUUAGUGCUGCAGCUAACGCAUUAAGCACUCCGCCUGGGGAGUACGACCGCAAGGUUGAAACUCAAAGGAAUUGACGGGGACCCGCACAAGCGGUGG